UACGGAGGGGGCUAGCGUUGUUCGGAAUUACUGGGCGUAAAGCGCGCGUAGGCGGACCUGCAAGUCGGGGGUGAAAGCCCGAGGCUCAACCUCGGAACUGCCUUCGAUACUGCGGGUCUCGAGUCCGGGAGAGGAGAGGUGGAAUUCCUGGUGUGAGCGGUGAAAUGCGCAGAUAUCAGGAAGAACACCCGUGGCGAAGGCGGCUCCUCUGGAACGCAACUGACGCUGAGACGCGAAAAGCGUGGGGAGCGAACAGG
rnacentral:rRNA from 1 species